CACGCUGUAAACGAUGAAUACUAGGUGUCGGGUAGAAAUAUUCGGCGCCGCAGCUAACGCAUUAAGUAUUCCACCUGGGAAGUACNCAACGCGAAGAACCUUACCUAGGCUUGAAACGCAAGAUUUCAGUCCAUGAAAGUGGAUUACCCGCAAGGGGUCUUGUACAGGUGC
rnacentral:rRNA from 1 species